rnacentral:rRNA from 1 species
UGCAUCGAUGAAGAACGCAGCGAAAUGCGAUAUGUAAUGUGAAUUGCAGAUUCAGUGAAUCAUCGAAUCUUUGAACGCACCUUGCGCCCCUUGGCAUUCCGAGGGGCACGCCCGUUUGAGUGUCGUGAAUCCCUCAACCUUUUGCGUUUCUUAAUAGCAGAAGGCUUGGACUUUGGAGGUUUCUGCUGGCCUCUUCGGAAGCCAGCUCCUCUUAAAUGGAUUAGCAGGGUUUGCCUUUGGUCGGUCCUCGACGUGAUAAGCUGCUUCUACGUCUUGGAUUUGGCUCUGCCUCCUUUGAGACCUGCUUCUAAUCGUCUCGUUGAGACGGUCGUCAGAGUCGCCCUUUCUUUCUUCACGGGAAAGAGGAGGGUGGACUUUUUGACCCACGAACCCUUUGACCUCAAAUCGGGUGAGACUACCCGCCGAACUUAAGCAUAUCAAUAAGCGGAGGAA